GGGUCGUUAGGUCCAGUUGGUAGAGCAGUUGACUUUUAAUCAAUUGGUCGCAGGUUCGAAUCCUGCACGACCCACCA
rnacentral:tRNA from 1 species